GCCAAUGUGGGUCAAUGGUUUGAGAGUUAUAAAUAAAAACUCUGCAGACCAGGGUUCGAAUCCCGGCUCAGCUA